UACAGAGGUGGCAAGCGUUGUUCGGAAUUAUUGGGCGUAAAGGGCUCGUAGGCGGUCCAUCACGUCGGGGAGUGAAAAGCUGGGGCUUAACCCCAGUCCUGCUUCCGAUACGGGUGGACUAGAGGUAGGCAGGGGAGAACGGAAUUCCUGGUGUAGCGGUGAAAUGCGCAGAUAUCAGGAGGAACACCGGUGGCGAAGGCGGUUCUCUGGGCCUUACCUGACGCUGAGGAGCGAAAGCGUGGGGAGCAAACAGG
rnacentral:rRNA from 1 species